rnacentral:rRNA from 1 species
GAUGAACGCUGACAGAAUGCUUAACACAUCAGCAAUUGAUUGGUGGCGGACGGGUGAGUAACGCGUAAAGAACUUGCCUCACAGCUAGGGACAACAUUUAGAAAUGAAUGCUAAUACCCGAUACUGUGAGAGAGCUUUGCGUCACAUUAGCUAGUUGGAGAGGUAACGGCUCACCAAGGCGAUGAUGGGUAGCCGGCCUGAGAGGGUGAACGGCCACAGAGGGACAGGGGCGCGACCCUUACUCCUACGGGGAGAAGGGGUGAAGAAUAUUGGAAAAUAGGCCGAAGUCUGAUCAAGCAAUUCGGAGUGCACAAUGAAGUUUUCGGAAUGUAGAGUGCUUUCAGUUGGGAAGCGGUACCAACAGAAGAAGUGACGGCUAAAUACGUGCCAGCAGCCGCGGUAAUUC